AUGCUCACAGCCAGGGCAUCAAAUGGCCAAACCGGGCCAUGCGUGGCCGGGCCAAAGUGUUCCUCUCCAGUUCUGGCGUGGAGCAAGAACGGGAGAGCACCUAAAUGCCAGCACUGUGGCCUGGGACAAGGGAAGCUACCAGAAACUUCUCCCAACUCAGCUACCAACUUUUCUCCCACGCAGUCUCAGAAGACUUUGCUAUAUUGUCCACACAAGCUACUGACCACUCCGUUUCAAGGAGCUACUCGUCUGCUUUUUUUUUUUUUUUUCUUUUAGGCCCUCUUGGCACUUGACCGCGUCUUUGGGACUGAAUCCACUUCCUGAGCCCACGCCCUGACAUUUGUUUUAGACACGGGAGACUAGAUGUCACCCAUCACUUCUUAGAGCUUCUGAAUCUCAACUCUCCCAGCCUCUGUCCUCCGAUUUCUUCACGGCUGGUGAUUCUUCUUGAGGAUGGUUGAUAGCAAACCAAAGGACAGCGCCCUUCAAGAGGAGAAUGGGAUCUUGGUGCGGUGGACAAUUUCAGACUCACUCGAUAUGACUGCUUUUGCCUUUUCAUCUGUUGGAAUGGAGUCUGACAUGCUGAGAAGUAAGCAUUGCUUUGGAGGAGGGAUUUCUCAUUCAGAUGAACCUGAUGGAAAACUUCCCUAUCAGCACCUUCUUGAACAUGCCCAUGCCAUCCUGUUUCUGACAAGUGUUCUUGCCCAGUGAGUAGGUAUUUCAGCUAAGUGAUACCUUCUCGACAACUCUUUCCACCGGCGGGUUCAUCGGCUAUGCAAGUGAACAAUUAUUGUGAUGUCGGCACGGGACGUUUCAUUUGGGAAUUUCAUUCACUGUCAGCUGAUCUUAACCGCUUCUGAGAUUUGUAUUGUAGCAUUUGGGGCGUGUGAGAAAAUGGUGACCUUGAUUUUCCUUUUUUUUUGUUUUUCUUUCUCCUGUCGAAAAAGUCUGGAUUUCUUCCCUCCUGUCUUGUGGAUGCUACCUGACUUUCUCAGUCAGCAGCCACAUUUUAAUGGUGGAAGCACAGUGGUAAGAAUUUCUGAUGUUUGACCUGGCGAAGGUACAAGGCGAGCCUUCUUAAGAUCCUUGGACAAAUCAGACUUAGGUUUGGUGUCCGAAGAAGGCUUGGUGCCUAAUAUAUAGGUUCCCUGUUGAUAGAUUGAUCAACUGAUUGGUCACUUACAUGUCCCAAAUGAGUGGGAUCUGAGAAUUUAGUUGAGGGUACAGUCUCUAAGGUCAUUCAGGCUGGUGUUCAUGUUUCAGCUUUGCUGUUUGCUAGUUCCCUCACCAACCUGAGCUUCAAUUUACUCACCUAUAAAUAGAGAUCAUGUAAUGUCUCCGCCACAGAGGUCGUGUGUUGAUUAAAUAAGAGAGUAUUCAGAAAGCAUAAGUCUAAGGUCAUAGUAAAUAGUGAAUAGUAGCUAUACUAUAUAACAGCAACAACCACACCGAUAAUAGCUACGAGAGCUGAUUUUCCAUAAAAUCACUUAAAACAGUGUAUGAAAAACAGAGAUAAAAAGUUAGGAGUGAGUCAAGAAGGUUUUGGGCAAAGGAAUAAAUAGAUGUACUGAGAAUGAAGAUAAUAAGGA
ensembl:lncRNA